AAUGAACGUUGGCGGCAUGGAUUAGGCAUGCAAGUCGAGCGAGAAGAGUUUUGAAGCUUGCUUUAGAACUCGGACAGCGGCGAAAGGGAGAGUAACGCGUAGUUAUGUGCCCUAGGGUCCGGAAUAGCCACGGGAAACUGUGGGUAAUGCCGGAUAAUAUCCCCGGAUCAAAGGUGUGAUUCCGCCCUAGGAGCAGACUGCGUCCUACUAGCUAGUUGGUGGGGUAAUGGCCCACCAAGGCAAUGCUGGGUAGCGGGUGUGAGAGCAUGACCCGUCUCACUGUGACGGAGACACUGCCAAGGCACCUACGGGUGGCUGCAUUCGCGAAUCUUCGGCAAUGGGCGAAGGCCUGACCGAGCGAUGCCGCGUGCGGGAUGAAGGCCCUCGGGUUGUAAACCGCUGUCGUAGGGGAGGAAGGUUCCGUGAAGAGCGGGACUUGACCUAUCCUAGGAGGAAGUACGGGCUAAGUUCGUGCCAGCCGCCGCAGUAA
rnacentral:rRNA from 1 species